ACACCCCUGAUUUUUUAUAUAUUAUUAUUGGGCUUCGUGUAGGUAUCCUCAAUUCGCGGAAAUUCGACAGUUGUCCGGAUCUGUGAAUUUCCGGCCAGACAGACCAGCUACCGGAAAAGUCUCCGAAUUGGAUCGAGGUUUUGGCUACCCCACCAUUGUCAGGCAUCCCGAGCGCGUUCCCGAAGUCGGAAUCGGCAAAGGUGAGCCGGGACAGCCUUCUUCCUCCGCCCAGCCGCCACAGUGAUUGUCGUCAAGUCUGCCACAGGAGGAUAUUUUUUUGAGGUUAACCUGCUUUCUCCCUCGCAGGUCGAUUACUACUGUUUGUAUAAACUUGUUAAAUCUUAGAAUUUCCGCAUGUGUUAGAAAUGUUUAUUUGAUUUGGGU